GGCGGUGUGGCCAAGCGGCUAAGGCGUUCGGCUGCAAUCCCGAUGAUCCUGGGUUCAAGUCCCAGCACCGCCU
rnacentral:tRNA from 1 species